rnacentral:rRNA from 1 species
UACGUAGGGUGCAAGCGUUGUCCGGAAUCAUUGGGCGUAAAGCGCGCGUAGGUGGCCUCGUAAGUCGGGUGUGAAAGUCAAAGGCUCAACCUUUGAAAGCCGGUGGAUACUGUGAGGCUAGAGUACGGAAGAGGCGAGUGGAAUUCCUGGUGUAGCGGUGGAAUGCGCAGAUAUCAGGAGGAACACCAAUAGCGAAGGCAGCUCGCUGGGACGUUACUGACACUGAGGCGCGAAAGCGUGGGGAGCGAACAGG